GAGACCGCCAGCGACGACCCCGCUCGGGCAGCCCCGGAUUUCCUCGGCUGCACCGGCGCCGGCAGCGGGGACCGAGGCCCGCGUCCGUUCGGGUCGGGCCGGGGCUUAGCCCCGCGCCCCACGGGCGGCCGGGACCCCACCCGGACCCCGCCGCGGUUCUGGGCCGCCGGAGCCUCGCGCCGCCUCUCGGGGACCUUGUCCCCUGGCCUCCGGCCUCUCGGGCCCCUCGCCUGCCGUCUAGGAGGGAAGGGGCCUUGGAUCUGUGCCCCGCCCAUGGAACAGCGCCCGGGCUCGGAGAGGCCCCGCGAGGCCGCAGGCGCAGACCCUCCCGGAGGGCUGGGCGGGCACCGGGGUCUUCGGCUGGCUUGAGGGACCCGACCCCUGGGGGAGGAAUUUGGGGUCUGUGUGUCCGAAUGAACGCGGGGGUUCAGAUGAGUCUGUGGUGCCCCCGCUUUCCAUCUCCUCCGGCCCCGGCCCCAGAGGACUGUCUGAGAGGCCGGUGGCCGCGGAUCCUGGACGCGCCUCCCUCCUGCCUGUGGUUUCCCUUUAUUCCGGCAGCGGCGCGAGCCCACCCUUCACAUACAGGAGCUACAUCCAGAAGCUUCUCCUGGGGCCACAGCGUGGGCUUCCGAGACUCUGCGUGACCCCAGCUCUGCCCCUUUGGGGCUGCGGGUGAAGCCCUCAGGACCCUCCGCGUGCGUUGGGCAGGUGCACACAUUGUCUGCCCAGAGAGGGCCAAGAUGCCCCAGGCACCCCUUCGCUCCGGGGGCUCAGGACACAGGCUCCCAGCUGAGGCCACGCCUGGACCCAGAGCUGAUGUUUGGCUGCACGCGAGCCCACUCGGGACAGACCCAAGAACACGAAUUCUCUCCCUUUGGAUUUAAGGCUGGUGUUUUUUGACAUUUACUUCAGUUUUUCUCUCUGAAAUUAAAAUUACCUGAGUAAAAGA